rnacentral:rRNA from 1 species
UACGAAGGUGGCAAGCGUUGUUCGGAUUUACUGGGCGUAAAGGGAGCGUAGGUGGUUAGGUAAGCCCUCCGGGAAAUCUUCAGGCUUAACCUGAAAAGGUCGGGGGGGACUGCCUAGCUAGAGGGCGGGAGAGGAGCGCGGAAUUCCCGGUGUAGCGGUGAAAUGCGUAGAGAUCGGGAGGAAGGCCGGUGGCGAAGGCGGCGCUCUGGAACGUUUCUGACACUGAGGCUCGAAGGCGUGGGGAGCAAACAGG